rnacentral:rRNA from 1 species
UACGGAGGGUGCAAGCGUUAUCCGGAUUUACUGGGUUUAAAGGGUGCGUAGGCGGGCUUUUAAGUCAGCGGUGAAAGCUUCGGGCUUAACUCGAAAAUUGCCGUUGAUACUAUUAGUCUUGAAUUAAGUUGAGGUGGGCGGAAUAUGUCAUGUAGCGGUGAAAUGCUUAGAUAUGACAUAGAACACCGAUUGCGAAGGCAGCUAACUACGCGAUAAUUGACGCUGAUGCACGAAAGCGUGGUGAUCAAACAGG